rnacentral:rRNA from 1 species
UCCGGGAAACCGGAGCUAAUACCGGAUAGUUCCUUGAACCGCAUGGUUCAAGGAUGAAAGACGGUUUCGGCUGUCACUUACAGAUGGACCCGCGGCGCAUUAGCUAGUUGGUGGGGUAAUGGCUCACCAAGGCGACGAUGCGUAGCCGACCUGAGAGGGUGAUCGGCCACACUGGGACUGAGACACGGCCCAGACUCCUACGGGAGGCAGCAGUAGGGAAUCUUCCGCAAUGGACGAAAGUCUGACGGAGCAACGCCGCGUGAGUGAUGAAGGUUUUCGGAUCGUAAAGCUCUGUUGUUAGGGAAGAACAAGUGCGAGAGUAACUGCUCGCACCUUGACGGUACCUAACCAGAAAGCCACGGCUAACUACGUGCCAGCAGCCGCGGUAAUACGUAGGUGGCAAGCGUUGUCCGGAAUUAUUGGGCGUAAAGGGCUCGCACGCGGUUUCUUAAGUCUGAUGUGAAAGCCCCCGGCUCAACCGGGGAGGGUCAUUGGAAACUGGGAAACUUGAGUGCAGAAGAGGAGAGUGGAAUUCCACGUGUAGCGGUGAAAUGCGUAGAGAUGUGGAGGAACACCACUGGCGAAGGCGACUCUCUGGUCUGUAA